rnacentral:rRNA from 1 species
GACGAACGCUGGCGGCGUGCCUAAUACAUGCAAGUCGAGCGGACUUGACAGAGCUUGCUCUGUUCAAGUUAGCGGCGGACGGGUGAGUAACGCGUGGGCAACUUUCACUGCAGAUUGGGAUAACUACGGGAAAACGGGGCUAAUACCGAAUAACAUUGGAAACCUAAUGGUUUCCUUUUAAAAGGCGGCUUCGGCUGUCUCUGCAGGAUGGGCCCGCGGCGCAUUAGCUAGUUGGUGAGGUAACGGCUCACCAAGGCGACGAUGCGUAGCCGACCUGAGAGGGUGAUCGGCCACACUGGGACUGAGACACGGCCCAGACUCCUACGGGAGGCAGCAGUAGGGAAUCUUCCGCAAUGGACGAAAGUCUGACGGAGCAACGCCGCGUGAGUGAAGAAGGUUUUCGGAUCGUAAAACUCUGUUGUCAGGGAAGAACAAGUACGGGAGUAACUGACCGUACCUUGACGGUACCUGGCCAGAAAGCCACGGCUAACUACGUGCCAGCCGCCGCCGUAAGAC